GGACGUGUGCCCGAAGACUAGGGAUUACUUUGAUAGAGUAAACAACAGAGGUUCAAAUCCUCUCACUUCC
rnacentral:tRNA from 1 species